CGGGAGGCAGCAGUGGGGAAUAUUGCACAAUGGGCGCAAGCCUGAUGCAGCGACGCCGCGUGAGGGAUGACGGCCUUCGGGUUGUAAACCUCUUUCAGCAGGGAAGAAGCGCAAGUGACGGUACCUGCAGAAGAAGCGCCGGCUAACUACGUGCCAGCAGCCGCGGUAAUACGUAGGGCGCGAGCGUUGUCCGGAAUUAUUGGGCGUAAAGAGCUCGUAGGCGGCCUGUCGCGUCGGUUGUGAAAGCCCGGGGCUCAACCCCGGGUCUGCAGUCGAUACGGGCAGGCUAGAGUUCGGUAGGGGAGAUCGGAAUUCCUGGUGUAGCGGUGAAAUGCGCAGAUAUCAGGAGGAACACCGGUGGCGAAGGCGGAUCUCUGGGCCGACACUGACGCUGAGGAGCGAAAGCGUGGGGAGCGAACAGGAUUAGAUACCCUGGUAGUCCACGCCGUAAACGGUGGGCACUAGGUGUGGGCGACAUUCCACGUCGUCCGUGCCGCAGCUAACGCAUUAAGUGCCCCGCCUGGGGAGUACGGCCGCAAGGCUAAAACUCAAAGGAAUUGACGGGGGCCCGCACAAGCGGCGGAGCAUGUGGCUUAAUUCGACGCAACGCGAAGAACCUUACCAAGGCUUGACAUACGCCGGAAACCCCCGGAGACGGGUGCCCCCUUGUGGUCGGUGUACAGGUGGUGCAUGGCUGUCGUCAGCUCGUGUCGUGAGAUGUUGGGUUAAGUCCCGCAACGAGCGCAACCCUUGUCCCGUGUUGCCAGCAGGCCCCUUCGGGGGUGCUGGGGACUCACGGGAGACCGCCGGGGUCAACUCGGAGGAAGGUGGGGACGACGUCAAGUCAUCAUGCCCCUUAUGUCUUGGGCUGCACACGUGCUACAAUGGCCGGUACAAUGAGCUGCGAUACCGCGAGGUGGAGCGAAUCUCAAAAAGCCCGGUCUCAGUUCGGAUUGGGGUCUGCAACUCGACCCCCAUGAAGUCGGGAGUCGCUAGUAAA
rnacentral:rRNA from 1 species